rnacentral:rRNA from 1 species
UACGGGGGGGGGCAAGCGUUGUUCGGAAUUACUGGGCGUAAAGGGCUCGUAGGCGGCCAACUAAGUCAGACGUGAAAUCCCUCGGCUUAACCGGGGAACUGCGUCUGAUACUGGAUGGCUUGAGUUCGGGAGAGGGAUGCGGAAUUCCAGGUGUAGCGGUGAAAUGCGUAGAUAUCUGGAGGAACACCGGUGGCGAAGGCGACUCUCUGGUCUGUAACUGACGCUGAGGCGCGAAAGCGUGGGGAGCAAACAGG